rnacentral:rRNA from 1 species
AUUGAACGCUGGCGGAAUGCUUUACACAUGCAAGUCGAACGGCAGCACGGACUUCGGUCUGGUGGCGAGUGGCGAUCGGGUGAGUAAUAUAUCGGAACGUGCCCAGGCGUGGGGGAUAACGUAGCGAAAGCUACGCUAAUACCGCAUACGAUCUACGGAUGAAAGCGGGGGAUCGCAAGACCUCGCGCGAUUGGAGGGGCCGAUAUCAGGUUAGGUAGUUGGUGAGGUAAAGGCUCACCAAGCCGACGAACUGUAGCUGGUCUGAGAGGACGACCAGCCACACUGGGACUGAGACACGGCCCAGACUCCUACAGGAGGCAGCAGUGGGGAAUUUUGGACAAUGGGGGCAACCCUGAUCCAGCCAUUCCGCGUGCAGGAUGAAGGCCCUCGGGUUGUAAACUGCUUUUGUACGGAACGAAAAGGUCCUGGUUAAUACCUGGGGCUCAUGACGGUACCGUAAGAAUAAGCACCGGCUAACUACGUGCCAGCAGCCGCCGUAA